rnacentral:rRNA from 1 species
GGGUAACGUUCCGAAAGGAACGCUAAUACCGCAUACGUCCUACGGGAGAAAGCAGGGGACCUUCGGGCCUUGCGCUAUCAGAUGAGCCUAGGUCGGAUUAGCUAGUUGGUGAGGUAAUGGCUCACCAAGGCGACGAUCCGUAACUGGUCUGAGAGGAUGAUCAGUCACACUGGAACUGAGACACGGUCCAGACUCCUACGGGAGGCAGCAGUGGGGAAUAUUGGACAAUGGGCGAAAGCCUGAUCCAGCCAUGCCGCGUGUGUGAAGAAGGUCUUAGGAUUGUAAAGCACUUUAAGUUGGGAGGAAGGGUUGCAGAUUAAUACUCUGCAAUUUUGACGUUACCGACAGAAUAAGCACCGGCUAACUUCGUGCCAGCAGCCGCGGUAAUACGAAGGGUGCAAGCGUUAAUCGGAAUUACUGGGCGUAAAGCGCGCGUAGGUGGUUCGUUAAGUUGGAUGUGAAAGCCCCGGGCUCAGCCUGGGAACUGCAUCCAAAACUGGCGAGCUAGAGUACGGUAGAGGGUGGUGGAAUUUCCUGUGUAGCGGUGAAAUGCGUAGAUAUAGGAAGGAACACCAGUGGCGAAGGCGACCACCUGGACUGAUACUGACACUGAGGUGCGAAAGCGUGGGGAGCAAGCAGGAUUAGAUACCCUGGUAGUCCACGC